UAUAGUGUCAGGAAUACAAAUUUAUUCCUGACACUAGUUGUAAAAACACAGUUUAGCUCCCCUUGUCUGUCUUUAAAAGGUAUUAAACUUACCUUUCUUCCAGGGUCAAGCUGAAUUAAUGCAUCUCUAUGGGAAGAGUUCACCGUUUCCAUGCAGAGAGUGGAGGUGCUGAAUGUCCAUGCUGUACACUGUGCAGCACUGACCCAGGAAGCACCUCUAGUGGCCAUCUUAUUGACUGCUACGAGAGGUGUUACUGCAUGGGCAGCA